UACAUAGGGUGCAAGCGUUAAUCGGAAUUACUGGGCGUAAAGCGUGCGCAGGCGGUUAUGCAAGACAGAUGUGAAAUCCCCGGGCUCAACCUGGGAACUGCAUUUGUGACUGCAUGGCUGGAGUGCGGCAGAGGGGGAUGGAAUUCCGCGUGUAGCAGUGAAAUGCGUAGAUAUGCGGAGGAACACCGAUGGCGAAGGCAAUCCCCUGGGCCUGCACUGACGCUCAUGCACGAAAGCGUGGGGAGCAAACAGG
rnacentral:rRNA from 1 species